CAGUCGCCGCGGUAAUACGUAGGGUGCGAGCGUUAAUCGGAAUUACUGGGCGUAAAGCGUGCGCAGGCGGUUAUGCAAGACAGAUGUGAAAUCCCCGGGCUUAACCUGGGAACUGCAUUUGUGACUGGCGAGCUAGAGUAUGGCAGAGGGGGGUAGAAUUCCACGUGUAGCAGUGAAAUGCGUAGAGAUGUGGAGGAAUACCGAUGGCGAAGGCAGCCCCCUGGGCCAAUACUGACGCUCAUGCACGAAAGCGUGGGGAGCAAACAGGAUUAGAUACCCCGGUAGUCCCUGUCUCUUAUAC
rnacentral:rRNA from 1 species